rnacentral:rRNA from 1 species
UGGGGAAUAUUGGACAAUGGGCGAAAGCCUGAUCCAGCCAUGCCGCGUGUGUGAAGAAGGUCUUCGGAUUGUAAAGCACUUUAAGUUGGGAGGAAGGGCAUUAACCUAAUACGUUAGUGUUUUGACGUUACCGACAGAAUAAGCACCGGCUAACUCUGUGCCAGCAGCCGCGGUAAUACAGAGGGUGCAAGCGUUAAUCGGAAUUACUGGGCGUAAAGCGCGCGUAGGUGGUUUGUUAAGUUGGAUGUGAAAUCCCCGGGCUCAACCUGGGAACUGCAUUCAAAACUGACUGACUAGAGUAUGGUAGAGGGUGGUGGAAUUUCCUGUGUAGCGGUGAAAAGCGUAGAUAUAGGAAGGAACACCAGUGGCGAAGGCGACCACCUGGACUAAUACUGACACUGAGGUGCGAAAGCGUGGGGAGCAAACA